AACGCGAAGAACCUUACCCGGGCUUGAAAUGCAAUCGACGAUCUAUGAAAGUAGAUUUCCAGCAAUGGCGAUUGUGUAGGUGCUGCAUGGUUGUCGUCAGCUCGUGCCGUGAGGUGUCGGCUUAAGUGCCAUAACGAGCGCAACCCACAUCAUUAGUUACUAACAGGUCAAGCUGAGGACUCUAAUGAGACUGCCGGCGUAAGCUGCGAGGAAGGUGUGGAUGACGUCAAAUCAGCACGGCCCUUACGUCCGGGGCGACACACGUGUUACAAUGGGUGGUACAAAGGGCAGCUACUGGGCGACCAGAUGCUAAUCUCCAAAGCCACUCCCAGUUCGGAUCGGAGUCUGCAACUCGACUCCGUGAAGCUGGAUUCGCUAGUAAUCGCGCAUCAGCCAUGGCGCGGUGAAUACGUUCCCGGGUCUUGUACACACCG
rnacentral:rRNA from 1 species